AACUUGAGUGCAGAAGAGGAGAGUGGAAUUCCACGUGUAGCGGUGAAAUGCGUAGAGAUGUGGAGGAACACCAGUGGCGAAGGCGACUCUCUGGUCUGUAACUGACGCUGAGGAGCGAAAGCGUGGGGAGCGAACAGGAUUAGAUACCCUGGUAGUCCACGCCGUAAACGAUGAGUGCUAAGUGUUAGGGGGUUUCCGCCCCUUAGUGCUGCAGCUAACGCAUUAAGCACUCCGCCUGGGGAGUACGGUCGCAAGACUGAAACUCAAAGGAAUUGACGGGGGCCCGCACAAGCGGUGGAGCAUGUGGUUUAAUUCGAAGCAACGCGAAGAACCUUACCAGGUCUUGACAUCCUCUGACAAUCCUAGAGAUAGGACGUCCCCUUCGGGGGCAGAGUGACAGGUGGUGCAUGGUUGUCGUCAGCUCGUGUCGUGAGAUGUUGGGUUAAGUCCCGCAACGAGCGCAACCCUUGAUCUUAGUUGCCAGCAUUCAGUUGGGCACUCUAAGGUGACUGCCGGUGACAAACCGGAGGAAGGUGGGGAUGACGUCAAAUCAUCAUGCCCCUUAUGACCUGGGCUACACACGUGCUACAAUGGACAGAACAAAGGGCAGCGAAACCGCGAGGUUAAGCCAAUC
rnacentral:rRNA from 1 species